rnacentral:rRNA from 1 species
CCCAGACUCCUACGGGAGGCAGCAGUGGGGAAUAUUGCACAAUGGGGGAAACCCUGAUGCAGCGACGCCGCGUGAGCGAAGAAGUAUUUCGGUAUGUAAAGCUCUAUCAGCAGGGAAGAAAAUGACGGUACCUGAGUAAGAAGCUCCGGCUAAAUACGUGCCAGCAGCCGCGGUAAUACGUAUGGAGCAAGCGUUAUCCGGAUUUACUGGGUGUAAAGGGAGCGCAGGCGGUCUGGCAAGUCUGGUGUGAAAUACCGGGGCUCAACUCCGGGACUGCAUUGGAAACUGUCAGACUGGAGUGUCGGAGAGGCAGGCGGAAUUCCUGGUGUAGCGGUGAAAUGCGUAGAUAUAAGGAAGAACACCAGUGGCGAAGGCGGAUGACUGGACGGCAACUGACGGUGAGGCGCGAAAGCGUGGGGAGCAAACAGGAUUAGAUACCCCAGUAA